AGAGUUUGAUCCUGGCUCAGGAUAAACGCUGGCGGCGCACAUAAGACAUGCAAGUCGAACGAACUUAACCCUUUGUUUACAUUGGGAGCGGUUAGUGGCGGACUGGUGAGUAACACGUAAGCAACCUGCCUAUUAGAGGGGAAUAACAGUGAGAAAUCAUUGCUAAUACCGCAUAUGCUCACAGUAUCACAUGAUACAGUGAGGAAAGGAGCAAUCCGCUAAUAGAUGGGCUUGCGUCUGAUUAGCUAGUUGGUGGGGUAACGGCCUACCAAGGCGACGAUCAGUAGCCGGACUGAGAGGUUGAACGGCCACAUUGGGACUGAGAUACGGCCCAGACUCCUACGGGAGGCAGCAGUCGGGAAUAUUGCGCAAUGGAGGAAACUCUGACGCAGUGACGCCGCGUAUAGGAAGAAGGUUUUCGGAUUGUAAACUAUUGUCGUUAGGGAAGAUAAAAGACAGUACCUAAGGAGGAAGCUCCGGCUAACUAUGUGCCAGCAGCCGCGGUAAUACAUAGGGAGCAAGCGUUAUCCGGAAUUAUUGGGUGUAAAGGGUGCGUAGACGGAGGAACAAGUUAGUUGUGAAAUCCCUCGGCUUAACUGAGGAACUGCAACUAAAACUAUUCCCCUUGAGUGUCGGAGAGGAAAGUGGAAUUCCUAGUGUAGCGGUGAAAUGCGUAGAUAUUAGGAGGAACACCAGUGGCGAAGGCGACUUUCUGGACGAUAACUGACGUUGAGGCACGAAAGUGUGGGGAGCAAACAGGAUUAGAUACCCUGGUAGUCCACACUGUAAACGAUGGAUACUAGGUGUAGGGUGUAUUAAGCACUCUGUGCCGCCGCAAACGCAUUAAGUAUCCCACCUGGGGAGUACGACCGCAAGGUUGAAACUCAAAGGAAUUGACGGGGGCCCGCACAAGCAGUGGAGUAUGUGGUUUAAUUCGAAGCAACGCGAAGAACCUUACCAGGGCUUGACAUAUACCGGAAUAUACUAGAGAUAGUAUAGUCCUUCGGGACUGGUAUACAGGUGGUGCAUGGUUGUCGUCAGCUCGUGUCGUGAGAUGUUGGGUUAAGUCCCGCAACGAGCGCAACCCCUAUCGUUAGUUGCUAGCAGGUAAAGCUGAGAACUCUAGCGAGACUGCCGGUGAUAAAUCGGAGGAAGGUGGGGAUGACGUCAAAUCAUCAUGCCCUUUAUGUCCUGGGCUACACACGUACUACAAUGGCCGCAACAGAGGGAAGCGAAAUAGUGAUAUGGAGCAAAACCCGAAAAACGGUCUCAGUUCGGAUUGAAGGCUGAAAUUCGCCUUCAUGAAGCUGGAAUUGCUAGUAAUGGCAGGUCAGCAUACUGCCGUGAAUACGUUCCCGGGCCCUGCACUCACCGCCCGUCA
rnacentral:rRNA from 1 species